rnacentral:rRNA from 1 species
GACCUCAAAUCAGGUAGGACCACCCGCUGAACUUAAGCAUAUCAAUAAGCGGAGGAAAAGAAACUAACCAGGAUUCCCUUAGUAACUGCGAGUGAAGUGGGAAGAGCUCAAAUUUGUAAUCUGGCGGCCUUUGGACGUCCGAGUUGUAAUCUAAAGAAGUGCUACCUGUGCUGGACCGUGUACAAGUCUUCUGGAAUGGAGCAUCACAGAGGGUGAGAAUCCCGUCUUUGACAUGGACUGCCAGUGCUCAAUAGGUGUGCUCUCGAAGAGUCGAGUUGUUUGGGAAUGCAGCUCAAAAUGGGUGGUAAAUGCCAUCUAAAGCUAAAUAUUGGCGAGAGACCGAUAGCGAACAAGUACCGUGAGGGAAAGAUGAAAAGAACUUUGGAAAGAGAGUUAAACAGUACGUGAAAUUGCUGAAAGGGAAACGCUUGAAGUCAGUCGCGUCUGUCAGGAAUCAACCUUGCUCUUGCUGGGUGUACUUUCUGUCGGACGGGNCAGCAUCAGUUUCGGUCGCUGGACAAAGUUCUUUGGGAAUGUGGCAUCCUCGGAUGUGUUAUAGCCCUUGGGACACAUGCAGCGGUCGGGAUUGAGGAACUCAGCACGCCCGUGAGGGCUGGGGCUUUUUGCCCACAUAAC